rnacentral:rRNA from 1 species
CUACGGGAGGCUGCAGUGGGGAAUAUUGCACAAUGGGCGCAAGCCUGAUACAGCCAUGCCGCGUGUAUGAAGAAGGCCUUCGGGUUGUAAAGUACUUUCAGCGGGGAGGAAGGGAGUAAAGUUAAUACCUUUGCUCAUUGACGUUACCCGCAGAAGAAGCACCGGCUAACUCCGUGCCAGCAGCCGCGGUAAUACGGAGGGUGCAAGCGUUAAUCGGAAUUACUGGGCGUAAAGCGCACGCAGGCGGUUUGUUAAGUCAGAUGUGAAAUCCCCGGGCUCAACCUGGGAACUGCAUCUGAUACUGGCAAGCUUGAGUCUCGUAGAGGGGGGUAGAAUUCCAGGUGUAGCGGUGAAAUGCGUAGAGAUCUGGAGGAAUACCGGUGGCGAAGGCGGUCCCCUGGACGAAGACUGACGCUCAGGUGCGAAAGCGUGGGGAGCAAACAGGAUUAGAUACCCCCGUAGUC